UAUGAGAAUGUUUUUAUGGUUGUUGUUGUUUCUAAAGCAUCCGUUUAUAAGCGCCUUCCGGUACGUUUCCUUCGUUUUAUGAUUUUUUUUAUACGACGCUGUACGUUUGUUUGCCAAUGUGUGCAUGCGUUCGUUCGUGCGUAAUUGUGUGCGUAAUAUAUAACGGCAAAAUUUUAUAGCGAAAUUUAUAUUUAGCAUUUUGAAGCUGCCCUCAUCAGCCACCAACUUUUAACUGUAAAUUUCAAUCAAAACAAAUGCACAUAAAGUGCAAUUUUUAUGCACAUGUAGUAAGAAUGUGUCUGUAACAUUUUCUUCUUGAAUUUCUGCCGAGUUUGGCAGUCGCUGAUGCAGCAUGCAUAGAAGAAGCAACAGCCAAGAACACCCUUCCAUUAUAAAAAGUGCAAACACUACAUGUUCGAAAUAAUAAAAAAGAAUAAUAAAAUAAGUGAAUUUUUUGUAGACAAAAAAAAAGGAAAAAAAUAAAAAAAAAAUCAUCCAAAGAAGAAAAUCUGCUGCCAUUUGUUGGGGUUUAUGCAAGUACAUAUGUAGUAUAUACAAUGAUUUUGUAUGUGAUGUGAGUGUUCGUGUAAGUUUCUGAAUAUUUUUGAUCGCACAACAUGUGAAUUGUAUAAAAAUAUAAAAAUUAUUUUUAAAAGUGAAAAGAAAGCAAUAAAAUACAAGAACAAAUUUAAAUUCAAGUGUAUGCCACAUGUGAGGAUUUCGAAUUUAUUAAACGAAACAGAAAAGAAGUUUUAAAAAUAGAGAAAACAGAAAAAAAUACAAAAUACAGAAAAUAAAAUUCCUAAGAAAAAAGAAAAUUGCAACCCCUGCGCAACUGUAUUCAAUUAAAAAGUGAUUUUUUUCGCGAUUUUAUCUUCAUCAACAUCUACUUCACUUUAAUUUUGUUUAAUCUUCUUGCAAAUUUUAUUUGGAUUAUCUUACUUUAGCACUUAGUCACUUUUGACUAAAGCUGCUAAAACUAUUAGCAGUCUGUGUGGUUUAUUUAAUAUUGUCGUCCCCGGGCUAUAGCCAGCAUUUAUCAGAUCUUUUGCAUUAUACAUGGGGAAUAAUAUUACAGUGGUUAAAUGCAAAUUUAGGUGACUACACAUAAUGAUUCAGAGGUGUUGAUGAAAGUUUAUUCACAAACAUCCUGCCUCCUCAGUUCAGGUAAGUCCACACAGUCUUAUAGAAUUUAUUGUUUAAAAUUGUUUCUAUUUUAAUGAUUUCAUUAUGAAUGUUUUCGUAUUGUGCC